rnacentral:rRNA from 1 species
GUGCCAGCAGCCGCGGUAAGACAGAGGUGCCAAGCGUUAGGCGGAAUCACUGGGCUUAAAGCGUGUGUAGGCGGAUCGUUAAGUACCUUGUGAAAUCCCACGGCUCAACCGUGGAACUGCUCGGUAUACUGGCGAUCUUGAGCCACCUAGGGGCAACUGGAACAAGCGGUGGAGCGGUGAAAUGCGUAGAUAUCGCUUGGAACGCCAACGGUGAAAACAGGUUGCUGGGGGUGUGCUGACGCUGAGACACGAAAGCCAGGGGAGCGAACGGGAUUAGAUACCCCCGUAGUCC